rnacentral:rRNA from 1 species
UACGAAGGGGGCUAGCGUUGCUCGGAAUUACUGGGCGUAAAGCGCACGUAGGCGGACUAUUAAGUCAGGGGUGAAAUCCCGGAGCUCAACUCCGGAACUGCCUUUGAUACUGGUAGCCUAGAGAUCGGAAGAGGUGAGUGGAAUUCCCAGUGUAGAGGUGAAAUUCGUAGAUAUUGGGAAGAACACCAGUGGCGAAGGCGGCUCACUGGUCCGAUACUGACGCUGAGGUGCGAAAGCGUGGGGAGCAAACAGG